rnacentral:SRP_RNA from 1 species
GCUGGGCGUGGUGGUGCGUGCCUGUAGUCCCAGCUACUCGGGAGGCUGAGGCAGGAGAAUCACUUGAACCCAGGAAGCAGAGGUUGCAGUGAGCCAAGAUUGCACCACUGCACUCCAGCCUGGGUGACAGAGUGAGACUCUGUCUCAA